CCAGACUCCUACGGGAGGCAGCAGUGGGGAAUAUUGCACAAUGGGGGAAACCCUGAUGCAGCAACGCCGCGUGAGUGAAGAAGUAUUUCGGUAUGUAAAGCUCUAUCAGCAGGGAAGAAGAUGACGGUACCUGAUUAAGAAGCCCCGGCUAACUACGUGCCAGCAGCCGCGGUAAUACGUAGGGGGCAAGCGUUAUCCGGAUUUACUGGGUGUAAAGGGAGCGCAGACGGCAGUGCAAGUCUGGAGUGAAAGCCCGGGGCCCAACCCCGGAACUGCUCUGGAAACUGUACGGCUGGAGUGCAGGAGAGGUAAGUGGAAUUCCUAGUGUAGCGGUGAAAUGCGUAGAUAUUAGGAGGAACACCAGUGGCGAAGGCGGCUUACUGGACUGUAACUGACGUUGAGGCUCGAAAGCGUGGGGAGCAAACAGGAUUAGAUACCCCAGUAGCA
rnacentral:rRNA from 1 species